UGCGUAGGCGGAUUGGUAAGUCCGUGGUGAAAUCUCCAAGCUUAACUUGGAAACUGCCGUGGAUACUCUCAAUCUUGAAUAUAGUGGAGGUGAGCGGAAUAUGUCAUGUAGCGGUGAAAUGCUUAGAUAUGACAUAGAACACCCAUUGCGAAGGCAGCUCGCUACACUAUCAUUGACGCUGAGGCACGAAAGCGUGGGGAUCAAACA
rnacentral:rRNA from 1 species